rnacentral:rRNA from 1 species
CCUACGGGAGGCAGCAGUAGGGAAUUUUCGUCAAUGGGCGCAAGCCUGAACGAGCAAUGCCGCGUGAACGAGGAAGGUCUUCGGAUCGUAAAGUUCUGUUGAAGGGGAAAAAGAGCGGAGAGAGGAAAUGAACUCCGAUUGAUAUUACCCUUCGAGGAAGUCACGGCUAACUACGUGCCAGCAGCAGCGGUAAUACGUAGGUGGCAAGAGUUAUACGGAUUUAUUGGGCGUAAAGGGAAAGCAGGCGGUCUUUUAAGUCUGAUGGGAAAGCCUUAGG